UACGUAUGGAGCAAGCGUUAUCCGGAUUUACUGGGUGUAAAGGGAGCGUAGGCGGUCCUGCAAGUCUGAUGUGAAAGGCCGGGGCUCAACCCCGGGACUGCAUUGGAAACUGUAGGACUAGAGUGUCGGAGGGGUAAGUGGAAUUCCUAGUGUAGCGGUGAAAUGCGUAGAUAUUAGGAGGAACACCAGUGGCGAAGGCGGCUUACUGGACGACUACUGACGCUGAGGCUCGAAAGCGUGGGGAGCAAACAGGAUUAGAUACCCGAGUAGGACUGACU
rnacentral:rRNA from 1 species